rnacentral:lncRNA from 1 species
AUGUGCUUUACAUUUUACUGUGAUUUACUGGGAUAUUUGUUGGCUGAUGUUCAGCAGGAAUGGAGAAAUGGAAUCAAAGGGAGAUGUUUUUGUAAUGAUGUAAGUAAAUCUUCAAUAUUAUUUAUUUGCUUGGUUAUAUUAGGAGUGUUUCUGAGUGAGGGAGAGAGGAGUCAUCAUCCAGGUAAAGUGACGUGGAUCAGUGGAUACACUUGUCUCCCCUUUAAAGGAGAUACUCUUAGAGAGAGACAAUCCGAGUCAUCCUUAAAUUGUCAAAUGUCCAACAGCUGGAGAGGAAACUAAACCAGUGUACUGGGAUGUUUCAUCAACAUGUGCCAGACGCUGUUCCUUCAUGGGGACAUCACCAGAGACAGCCCCGCCCACCUCAGGACCUCGCCAUUGAUCAUGAUGAUUAUAAUGAUGACAGCGAGCGGAACUAAGACUGUAAAAAUCUAUGACCAGAAUGUUUAGGUGCUUUCUAAUUAUUAAUGAAUACUGAGAGCCUCUUUCUGUGUUUUGUCUGUUUUGAUUUUUUUACCUCAUUUGUUUCUAACAAAGUUCCCCAAACUCACACAGUUUACAUUCUGUAUGCGUUUCCAUCUUUACCAGCCACACUCUAACUGCCUUUAGGAAAACAAACCAUAGAAAUCGUCGUUUUUCUCUUUUGUAAUUGAUGAUAAUUCAGUGAAUAUAUUGCGCUGCUUCCUUUUAUUGCGUCACACAUUGCUUUACGUUUUUCAGUGUCCAGUUAUUUUUUACUGCUGUUUGAAUUCUCUGUAUGUUUAACCCUAUAGACUGUGUAAUGGACUGCUUGUCGCCCUGUUUGUAACCGCCGCCUGCUUUUGACUAAAGAUUUGGAUUUCUGACUUUAACACAGCCUCUGUGUGUCCUCCCUUUGUG